GUACUUGCUUCAGCAGCACAUAAACUAAAUUGGAACUAUUACAGAUAAGAUUAGCAUGGCCCCUGUGCAAGGAUGACAUGCAAAUUCUUGAGGCAUUCUCUAUUUUU
rnacentral:snRNA from 1 species